rnacentral:lncRNA from 1 species
GUUUGCCUGUGUGUGAGCAUCCAUGUGCAUAAGUGAAGCUGCACACAUGUGCUCAUACAUGUGAAGGCCUGCAGUUGACGUCAGGUGUCAUACUCUACCACUCUUUGUCUUAUGUAUUGAGGCAGGCUCUCUCAGCUCUGCCUCCCAAGGGCUGGGAUUAUGGACGGACUGCUGGGCUACUUGCCACAGCUUCCCUGCUUUUACAUGAGUUUCAAGAAUCAGAAUUCUGGUCCUCCCACCUGCAUGACAAGUACUUUAUCCGCCUAGCCAUCUUCCCAGCCCUUAUGGGAUUGUAAGGACUUGUUGCAUCUCGUAAGGACAUCUGAAGCCAUGUCCUUAUCCUCUACCCUCUUCUGCCCAUCACAAACAUUCUUCGUUCUGACUCAGGAUCCACACUCCAGUCUGCCUGCUGAAACAAUUGUUCUUUGGACUGUCAUUGACAAUGAAUUCCUUUAAAUCAUCUAAGAAAACAUGUGUAAUCCACUGGAAAUUUCAAGGCAUUGAGUCAUCAUCACUCGCCUUGUCCCCCUCAAAUUCCCAUCUCUUAUGUAAGGCUGAGUCACAUUUCAUGAGGUCCGGGCACUGAAGAAAGGAACUGGAAAACUCUCAAGGGAAAUGUCUGAUGGAGUUUGCAAGAGUCAACUGCUGUUCUGCUCCCAAGCUCAGGAACAUUGUGACUGGUGCCAGGACAGCUCGCAGGUGUGGAUUCUGGCUAGAGCCGGUUUUCUCAGAAAAAUGCAGAGGACAUGGAGCAGAAUCCAAGAGGAUGAAGAAUAGAGAAUUGGGGGGUGCAGAACCGGGGAGCCCAUUCCUUGGACGAUGAGGUAGAUCAUUGAGAGUUAACCAUAACAUUGUCACAUGGGAAUCAAGCAGAUGAAGGCAAAGUCUCCCCCAAAGGGAACAGAAUGAGCCCCAGGCCAGCAUGACUGACAUAUCUAAGGCUACAAAAAGGUGUGGGAAAGAGCUGUUCCCUAGUCUCAUGAUCACAUCCAUUUGACUAUGCCGGUACAGAGAUGCUGGGUGAGUCCUCCAGCAAGGAGAGAGUUUCUAUUGGGGAGGUGGGGGCCUUGGAUUGUCAGCCACCUUCUGUAGAGACAUCUCUUUCUUCUGAGGCCAG